GACAGAGGGUGCGAACGUUGUUCGGAAUUACUGGGCGUAAAGGGCGCGUAGGCGGAAUGGCAAGUCGGUCGUGAAAUCCUUCGGCUCAACCGAAGAACGUCGAUCGAACUGCCGUUCUUGAGGAUUGCAGAGGAGACUGGAAUUCCCGGUGUAGCGGUGGAAUGCGUAGAGAUCGGGAAGAACAUCAGUGGCGAAGGCGGCCUGCUGGGCUGUUGCUGACGCUGAGGCGCGACAGCGUGGGGAGCA
rnacentral:rRNA from 1 species